UACGUAGGGUCCGAGCGUUGUCCGGAAUUAUUGGGCGUAAAGGGCUCGUAGGCGGUUAGUCGCGUCGGGAGUGAAAACUCAGGGCUCAACCCUGAGCGUGCUUCCGAUACGGGCUGACUGGAGGUAUGCAGGGGAGAACGGAAUUCCUGGUGUAGCGGUGAAAUGCGCAGAUAUCAGGAGGAACACCGGUGGCGAAGGCGGUUCUCUGGGCAGUAACUGACGCUGAGGAGCGAAAGCGUGGGGAGCGAACAGG
rnacentral:rRNA from 1 species